UUUAUUUGUGUAUCUCUUAUUUCAUAUGUGUCUUCUUUCUUUUGCCAUCUUUCUACCCCUUUGAUACUGGGAACAAAAUAGGAAAGAUGACUAUUCUUUAUUAUAAUACUCCAUUACCUAGAAAACUUCUUUAGGAUGAAAGAAAACCCUGCUCUUGAUCUCCAUACAUUUCUCUACUGCUCUCAUUUCCCUUUACUCCAAAAUUACACAGGGAAAGAUUACAACUCCACUUAAAUAACUCCCACAUAUAUUCAAAGAUGAUCUGAGAACUGACAUCUCGAGGGCUCUUUAAGAGAUCUCAUUUAUUUCAAGACCUUGAGAUGUGAUCCAACACAUAGGACGUAUCAUGACUUUAAGCCUAGAGUCAGAAUCGGAGUUAUUUUAACAAUAGAAACAAACUUGGAAAGCUACCAGUCCAGUCUUUUUUACAAUAUGGAAACUAAGACCCAGAGAGGAUGUCCUGAACAAGGUCGUCAGGUUGUCGCUCCUGCCACGCUCUGA
rnacentral:lncRNA from 1 species